AUGUUGAUCCGGAGCAAACCCCAGAGCAUCAUGGUGAAAAAUCCCGAAGUAGCUGAAGAUGAUACUGCUGAGAAGAAUGAAGAUGCCAAUGCUAAUCCGCCAGUGGUUGAACCGGAUAUCCAAAUUGAUACUUCACAUCCUCCUGCUCCUCCGAGUCCCACAGCAGAACAACGAGGCUCAACUGCUGAUCCGCCAAGCCCGGGUAUGAAAGCACCGAGCCCUGUUAAGAAUGCUACUUUGGCCAGUCCAGCCCAAGAUGAUGAUGUUGUAGUUACGGGCACCGUGUAUAACGCCCCUGGUAAUCCGGUGGCUCUAACAAAACAUACUGCCAAGGAAGACUUCACUGCUAUUAACAAAGGGAAGGAAAAGACCGAUCUAUCAGCUUAG
rnacentral:rRNA from 1 species